CCUACGGGAGGCAGCAGUGAGGAAUAUUGGUCAAUGGGAGAGAUCCUGAACCAGCCAAGCCGCGUGAGGGAAGACGGCCCUAUGGGUUGUAAACCUCUUUUGUCGGAGAACAAAACCCGGGACGAGUCCCGGACUGCGUGUAUCCGACGAAAAAGCCUCGGCCAACUCCGUGCCAGCAGCCGUGGCAAUACGGAGGCUGCGAGCGUUAUCCGGAUUUAUUGGGUUUAAGGGGUGCGUAGGCGGUCUGUUAAGUCAGCGGUAAAAUGGCGGGGCUCAACCCCGUCGAGCCGUGGAGACUGGCAGACUUGAGUAGGCGAGAAGUACGCGGAAUGCGCGGUGUAGCGGUGAAAUGCAUAGAUAUCGCGCAGAACUCCGAUUGCGAAGGCAGCGUACCGGCGCCAAACUGACGCUGAGGCACGAAAGCGUGGGGAUCGAACAGGAUUAGAUACCCCAGUAGUC
rnacentral:rRNA from 1 species